rnacentral:lncRNA from 1 species
AUUUAUAAAAUCUAAUUUCCUCAUUGUACCUGAUGAUCUAAAAAUCACAAACUGUAUCAGUUCUUGAAUUACAUAAGAACUAUCGUAGACGUAUUCAAAAGCAAUAACACAACAUAUUUUGACACAAAAGAAAUCAAAAUUUUAAACUUAGUUUCUGUAGGAACAUUAUAGUACAUCCACGACCAAUUUCUCAAAUUCAAUCAGAACGCUCAUAGGUAAACUCACUAGAAAAGCAAUAUAUGCAACAUAUUACAAACCAUAAAUUCCGAUGACAUGUAAUACCUAAACUAAUUCUCUCUGGGGAAAUUCAUCAAACAUGAAAGAGGCAUCAGCAAUUACCUCUUUGAUGGAUUUCUCGUGCUCUUCACGAAUUCAACCACCAGAAUCACUUGGCUCACUCAAAAACCCAUCACAACCUCCCCUUCCUCGUCCUAUUCGUCGUCUUCCACGAAAUGCGGUCCAAUGGAGACGUGAGAAACGGGGUUUUAAAGAAGCCGCUGCUCGCGCCAUUGAUCUGAGAGGGAGGAGGAAGCGAGGAGCGAGGAAGAAGACGUCGGGACGAGGAGGGACGCUGGUGGCCUCGUCCAUUUGGAAGCGGACGAAACCCUAACCCUAGGGAGCUCCGCCGCGCCUCGGUCGCUACGAAUCCGAUCUUUUCUCUCGUCUUUUUUUUAGUGUUCUCCGGUUCUCCCAGAAAAUCAAAAAAUAAAAGAAAAAAAAGGAGCACCGGCAACUCCGUAUUUGAUCUUAAACAUGAAACACGCUGUGGAGCCAAUUGGAAGCAGACACGUGUCAAAUUUGUGAUUGCAGUUUGGAUCAAGUGGAUUUUUUUUGGGCGUCCGCAUUAACGGUCGGCAACGGUAAACUACCGUACGGUCCGUUCACUUGUCCAAAAUUCCAAAUGUCUCUCAUUAACAUAUAGAGAACAAAAAAUAUUAUAAGAAAAUCAUAGGAAUGUUCCAAAAUUUAAGUCAUUUUUUGAAUAUGUCAAUGAGCUAGCUUAAUUUGGCAUAGGUGAUUGUCGUUUAUUACUUCAGAUCUAAAUCCGUCUAUUAAAUAUCAUAUUUCUAAUUUUAAUAAAAGUAAUAAAUUUGUGUUUAAGAAAAGCCUCCAAUUUAGUUGGUGCAUUUGUGAAGUUUCAUUUGAAGAGAGAUCUUUCAAAAAGUAAAACAAAAAAAUUUUGACUUGUAAUCUUCCUAACGAAGGAGAGAGUGAGUGUCAACCAUCAUAUCGUAAUUUAUGCAAAUCUCAAAGCAUGUUACAUAAGAUAGUAUGUCCAUUCUCCUUUUUAGUAAGGCUUCCACUGAAGCUCGCAAUAGCAAUAUUUUUACAAACUUUAUGAUAAUUUAUGUGCUAAGAAUUAAAUAUCUAAAAUAAUAUUUCAAUUUGUUUGUCAAAGUAUAAUAUUUUCUAGCUUAUGAUUCCUAAUUUGGUUUUUUAUUAUUAAUUAUCUUUGAGUUGUUAUUAUUAUUAUUAUUAUUUCUUUUUUCUUUUUUUCGUCUUUGCCCUGUUUUUCAUCUCUCUAGAGGCCUUGUUGCCUCACCCAUAUAGUUAAGUUUAUCUCCUGAAUGAAUGAAGCGGGUAGCGUGCUAUCUUUUUCUAAAAAAAAAAAAAUAUUGAGCGUGCAAUAACAAACAUACCUCAUUGACUCAGUGUAAAUUAGAGUAAUGAUCAAUUAAUGUUAGGAAGUAAUUAAUUAAAAUUAGGCUAAGUUUAUAAGUUUAAACAAUGUUUUUAUGGAAGAUUUUAAUGAAAAAUCAAAAGUUAAUUGGCAGUCAAAAGCUUUACAUAGUAAGAUAGUAUUAAGGGAGCAAUGCAAUAGGGGUUUUAAUUUCCCUGUGAUGUGUUUUGGAGGUUAUAAACUUUAAGCGCUUUUGUUCAACAAAAAUAAGAAAAAAAAGGUACCUGCUAAGAGUAAAUAUAACUCUUUUUUUGAGUGAUUUUUUCUUUUUUCUGUGUGGUACUUUUGUUCCAGUAUUAGUACGGCGGAUUAGCCUAAUACGGCGGAUUAGCCUACGAUUGUAUAUGAAAUGUUGUCCUUUCCCAAGCUUUUAUCUUCUUAAUCAUCUUUUAAUGAACACGGGUUAUUAUUGCACUUAGCUCUAUGAACAUUGUGCCUGCAAUACACCGUAUACACACAAAAAGCCAAAGCAAUUUUGUUUUACAUGCAAAUUGAAAACUACUAAGGACUCAUUUGAUAUUGAGACUCAUGUAAUACUACUAACAGACAAAAUAAAGUUGAAAAAAAUAUAUAAAAAAUAUACUUUUGUAUUUUUCGAUAAAAUAAUAGAAAAUAUAUUGUAAAAGACUUAUUAAAAUAUACAAAAACAAAUAAAAUAUUUUUUCAUCGCACUUUCUCAUCUCACGUAACAUAAUGUCUCCACAAUUCUAAACGAAGUCUAAAUCAUUAGGCACCUACACAAUUUUUUAAAAAAAAUCGAGAUUGUGUUGAAUUUCUAAAAUUAAUAGAAACUUUUUAUAGCAUAUUAUAAGUGCUUUGGUAGGAAUAAACUCAGGAUUUCGAGCUCUACUAUAUUGGCUUGAACUAAUUAAAGUACAUCUUAUAAUAUGCUAUAAAAAGUUUCUAUUAAUUUUAGAAAUUCAACACAAUCUCGAUUUUUUUUAAAAAAUUGUGUAGGUGCCUAAUGAUUUAGANCGAGCUCUACUAUAUUGGCUUGAACUAAUUAAAGUACAUCUUAUCUCUGUUUAGGACUUUUUUUUUUUUUGAGAAUAAGUUAGCACGCUACCUCUUUCAUUCAUUGAUAAAAAUAAACUUAGCUACAUAUGUGAGGCAACUAGGCCAACAAAAGAGCAAAAGAAAAGGCAAAAGGGAAAAAAGAAAAAAAAGAAAAAAAAGAGGGGGUUAAAUAGGGAUAUAUAUUAAAAAAAAGAAGAAGUUAAGUCGGGUGAUAGAAAAACAUUUUUCAGUAUCUCACAAGAUACUUGAUCUUCGCGAUGAUUGUCACAGGAUCUGAGCUAUGCUUUUUAAAAAUAAUAUUGCUUCUUUCCGGCCAGAAUAUCCACCAAAUUACAGCCAGAGUGUUCAGGUUCACCACUUAGGACUUGUUUCAUAAAGAAAAUGCAUGAAGACCCUUUCGACUAUAAGCCAUUCUAAAAUAGACUAGUUUAACUUAAAAUCAAAAAUGAGAAAUGCAAGUCUCAGUCCUUUCUUUUUAAUGUCUUUCUGAAUAAAGAGAUCUAUUUUUUUUCAGCAUUACUGUAGACCUAAAGAGCAAUCUGUUUAAUCGGACACAACUAUUGAAUUGAUUCAUAGCAUUUUAAAUGGACAUCAACCAUAUGUAUAUUUAUACUAAAUGAAAGAUUAGAUAGAAAAUAUUUGCUCAAGUUAGGCCAGAUCAGAGUCAUCAGACCAGAUAGAUCCAAUUUGCUCAACCCCAAAAUAUUUAGUUGGUCUUCUUAUAGCUAUAUCUAAAUCGUCAAACUUUAGGUUCGAAUCAAAUUCGCUUUAUUGCCGAGUCAGGAUCAAAUCUGAACCCAAUAAUAGGGCACAAUCAAGAAUUUAAGUACAGUACCGCUGAAUCGUACCGAAAAUCUAUCGGUACGGUACAAUAUGGUGCGUGUCAGACAGUGCCGAUAUGUGUCGGCCACAAAAAAUUCAUGUGUACCGACACAUAAUAGUAUAAAAUAUUUUUUUUAUUAACAAUAAAAUAUUUUAACAAUUUAUUAUAUAUUAUUAUCAAUUUUUUUGAAUUUUAUUAAAAAAAUUAUUUAUUAUUCUGAAUAAUAUUUUGAACUAUGUCACUAACACUAGAACUGAAUUAUAUCGAUGUCUUAUUAUCACUAUAAGGUGCAGUAGAUAGGGCCAAAAUCUUGGGCCAUCUCUAUUAAUAAUGAAAAAUUGCAUUUUAAAGAUUUGGUCCUCUGUGCAUUUGAAAGCUGCCACGUGUCCUCCAUAGUCAACACUCAACAGCAUCUAUCUAGAGGGUCCACGGUCAAUAGAAUCAUUAAGUGCGACCACGGCUAUGGCACUCAAUCAAAUCUUUUUCGUGAUCUCCUCUCCUUACCCCGUUUUUAGCCGUCCGAUCAUUCACCCGUUAGAAUGGGACGGCUCUCCUCUCAACAGACCCGGGAAGCGCUCCGUUUCCUGCGCCACAAUUUUUUCGCUAUGACCAACUAAUAUGACAUGACACAAGAAAUGUAGCUAUAAAAUAUUAAAUUGGUAAUAUUAUUAAUAAAUUUUAUUUUUAUAUCAACAGAUAAAUUUAUUAAAUUUUAUUAAAUUCAAUAAAUAUGGUGCGCCUAUGGUAACAAUGACUACUCCAAGUCUCCAAUACGACUUUCUUAAUUAACUCAUAUGCACAUAAAGUUGCAGCUUUUUCCGUAAUUUGCCCACACAAAAAUUAUAAUAUUUAAUUUAUAAAGUUGUAAAUUUUUGGAGGAUAAAAAUUUAAAGCAAAACUAGUAUAGAGGAUGAACCAUGUGAGAGUCCUAUAAACUUUAGAAAAAAUGAUUGGCCAAAUAUAAACAACAAAUUUUCUUUGUCACGUCAUUUACGAACAAAGCUAUUACAUGAGAAUAGUAUUACUUGAUUUAGGCAUUUUGCUGAUCUGCGUAAUUUAGUGAUCUUUUUUUAUUUAAAAUUAUUUGUUAAAGCUGUGGAUUUAGAAAAGGCCCGAUAAAAAAGAAUAAGAUUUUCCUUUUUUUAUUGAGUGCCAUUUGGAGAAGUAAGGUAGUUAAAGUGCAAGAAAAAGUAUUACUUACUGAAAAAAAUAAUAAUAAUAAAAUAAAAUCUUUAAAACGUGACAAUAAACGAAAUCACCUUGAAGGAGCAAAUGAUGUGGACCAAAACGUUUAUUAUAUUAUUAUAUAGAGCACGUGGAUGCGUAUCAUUUUUAAUUAAUUAAUUAAUUUCUUCGUACGUUCCAGAAACUCAACGGUCAAAUUCAACACAUACCACUGCUCGUCAACAUUACCAAUAUAUAUAUAUAUAUAUAUAUAUAUAUAGAAUUAGGCUACUAUACUAACAAUAGUACCGAGCUCCGGUAUUAUAGUGUUUGUUUUCGAUCUUAAAGCGUUCAAAUCAACGAUCCACACCGUUAAAUAUGAUCUAAGGUGUAUAAAUGUCUUAGAAAUAAAAUUUUAGUUUUUUUCGAUAUCGUUUACUUAGUAAAUAAAUUAUAUCAAAAUGGACGGUGCAAAUUGAAUAAUCUUUAAAAUUUGAGUAUAGGACUUUUAAAUUCAAGAUCAAGAAUGUUAACCUUAAUCUAUAUAAUUUAAAAUAUUUUCUAUCAAAAUUUGAAGAAAUUUAGAUUCUUCUACACCGUUAAACUCCAAACUUGUCAUAAUAACCAUUGAAAAUUGAUAAUUUUGAAAUAGUUUGAUCAUAAAAUGAACAACAUCAAAAAAAUAUAAAAUUUUAUUUCUAGAAACUUUAAAUACCCUAGAUCAGUUUUAACGGUGUGGAUCAUUGAUUUGAACGCCCUAAGAUCGAAAACCAACACUAUAGUACUGGAGCUCGGUACUAUAGAUAAUAUAGUAGCCUAGCUAUAUAUAUAUAUAUAUAUAUAUAUCACUCAUUCGUUUUCACCUGUUCGACCUGUCCAUCUUAUAACCAUCCGAUCAGUAAGCAUUUCGUAUUGUAUUGAUUCUCUAUUCUUCUAACUAACUUAGAAAAUCCACCUCCUCCAAAAGUGACAAAAUUCUCACGGAACUCCCUCCGAUCGAGAGCGACAUAAUUGUCGCAGACUACUCAAUAAUUUUACUUGCAAAGCCCGUGACAUAAUGCUUCUAAUAUUUUCACACUUAUCUUAAUCUCAAAAUAUAAAAUAAUAUCGUAAAUACUUUUUACGGAUUUAUCAUCAAAGAAAUAAUUAUUGCCAGAUACAUCUCCAUUCCAUGUUAAUUCCGGAAGGUUCUCAUCCGCAAUUCAGUAACGUUGCAUAAUAUAGGCUAUAAAAUACUAGAAUUUUUUUUUUUUUUUCGUGAAGGUAAUAGAACAUCAAAGCAGUUGAUAGACGCAAGAAGGAUGUACCAAGCACCAUAAUUAGCAUGCUGUUCGUUAAUAGUUGCUGCUAAAGUAUUUCAAUUGUUCUAUAUUAAACACACUCUAAAACGUCGAACGAAAAAAAACAAAGUGUAUGCGUCAUAUAAGUGUUAAACUAAAGGAGAUAACCUCUGUGCUACCAUGCAUGUUCUUUUGUCUUCGCUCCAGCUUUGGAACACCAACUUCGUUCUAAUCGCAACUACUAGCUCUUAUAAUUGUUUUAGAACAAGAAUAUAUAAUUGUACAUAUAAACCGGAUAAGUUAAAUUAUACAUGUGGUCUACAGUGGUUAUGACAUAUACAAUUUUAGUCAAACAUAUCAUUACAAUAAUCACGGACGAAUCAUGAUACAACAACAGAGAGAAGAGUUGGAUUAGAAUACAUAGAAUUAGUGCGUCGGCUAAUUAACUUCUCACCUAAUUUUGAACGUGAGUUUUGAGUACACAAAGUGAUGGAUAAAUUGUUAGAAUUAAGGAAACUGUCUAAAAUAAGUCAUAAGCCCGUAUAUAGAAACCCAAUUAUCGCUUACUCCAUUUACCACGUGCCAAUUCGUUUGGAAACACUGAAUCAUGUAUCAUUCCAUCGAAGUGAGUGACGCAUUAAUUAAGCACCUCGUGUGUUACAACAUACGAAGGCUACUCUGUAUUGUUAUGCCGUGUAAAUAAUACAAGAGUGUGUUCGGUUCAUGAUUGGAGUAAAGAUAACAAAUAAAAUUAAAUUGUACUGGAAUAAGAGAAAUUAUAAAUUAUUUAAAAAUAUUUGAUUUAUUAUUGAAAUAAAAAUCGGAAUAGAUUGGGACAUUCAAGAUAUUAAGAGAAAAUUUUGAUUAAGAAAAAAAAAUAAUAAAGAAAGAGAAGAUCAAAAGAAAUGAUGAAUAUAUAAAAUAGAUGAAUCAAAUAAAUCUUAAAAUGUUUACGGACUAUUCAUCUUAAAAAAGAUAAGAAAAAAGAAAAAUAAAAUCUCAGAGUGUUGAACAAAAAUUCAAGCUUGUCAAUUGGAGAUAAAUGCAAAAAUCUGUCCGAGUAAAAUGAUUAUUAUAAUUUAUAAAUAUGGCCGGACCCACACUUAAGUACUUAACCCCACCCAAAGGCGAAAGGGACCCGCUUCUAGAAGAGGCUCCUUAUCUUUUCCUCUCUCGCACCCAAUCACAGCCCACCGUGCUGCUUCCCCGAAAUCGGCGCGUAAACCAACGGCUCUCCUUUCUCCAACCCGACCCGCUACAAAAAAACCAAAAAAAAAAAAAAAAAAAAAAGUAAAAAAACACCCAUGGUCAAAACCACAGAUUAACAUCAUUUACCACAUUGUCUAGUAANAAAAAAAAAAAAAAAAAAAAAUCCUCGAAUGCUUACGUGUCACGCCUCGGUGGCGACCUCAUCUCCGACGUCAUCACCAAUGAUCAACCCACUCCCCCCCCCCUCUCCACGUGCUCCGAGUUUUUUUUUUUUUUUUUAAUUUUCUCGUCACCGAAUAAUCAGAUAAUCCCCAAAUAUUCAUAUUUAUUACGUCAUCCGAAGGGAAAUGGUUCAAUUUUUGUCACGUGCUCCGUGGCGAGGAAACUUCACCGAAGCUCCAACCCGUCUCUGAUAUAAAUCCCUUCGCCCUCUUUCUCUCUCCUCCCCCCAACCCACCCCCACCCCAAAAAUCCACUCGACUUUGAGCUCCGCGAUUCUCCCUCCGCUUAUUCUCACCGGGGGAGGUGACCGUAAGCGCGACGAUGGACCCCGAGUUUCUCGUCGAGAGCAUCCGCCGCCACCUCCUCGACGAUCCCGAGGAGGUCCCGUCACCUGCUGCUGCUGCUGCUGCUGCGGCGGCGGGGGCGGUAAGCGUACCGCAGGGGCCCCGCGCGUACGCGCGGAGCUCCAGCUUCGGGAGCCUCGUCGCGGAUCAGUGGAGCGACCUCCCCUUCCGCGCCGACGACGCCGACGACAUGGUCGUGUACGGCGCCCUCCGCGACGCGUUCUCCCUCGGGUGGCUCCCCGUCGACGGCGCCCCCGCGCCGGAGGAGGCGGCGGAGGCGCCGCCGANNNNNNNNNNNNNNNNNGAGGCGGCGGAGGCGCCGCCGACGCGGGCUCCGGCUUCGGCGGCGGCGGCGGGGGUGGCGAGGGGGAAGCACUACAGAGGGGUGAGGCAGAGGCCGUGGGGGAAGUACGCGGCGGAGAUUAGGGAUCCGGCGAGGAACGGGGCGAGGGUUUGGCUGGGGACGUUCGAGACCGCGGAGGAGGCCGCGCUCGCGUACGACCGCGCCGCGUACCGGAUGCGCGGCUCGCGCGCGCUCCUCAACUUCCCCCUCCAGAUCGGCUCCGAGCAAGCCGCCGCCGCCGCCGCCUCUCCGGCGCCGGCGAAGCGCCCCUCGCCGGAACCCUCGUCGUCGCCCUCCUCGUCGUCGACCUCGUCGUCGUCGUCGCCGAAGAGGAGAAGGAAGAGAGGGGAAGCGGCGUCCGUGGCGGCGGCUCCGGCUCCGGCUCCGGCUCAGAGUUCGAUCCCGGUUCAGACGCAGACCGGGUUGGUAUUCGCGACCGGACCGGAGGUAAAUUUCCCGGUCGGGCCGCUGACACGUGUCGGUCAGCUUUUGGUUAGUUGAGUGGCAUCGGAUUAGAAAGUGAGCGAUUUUCCUUCUAAAGGUCAAAAGAUGGAAAGGGCGAGGAAAAGUCAAACGAAAGAAGCAAAAUACCCUUUUAUAUUAGAGCAGCAAGGAUGAGAAAGAUAAUUUUGUCACACAUCUUGAAAAGAUGCACUCUUUUUGUGAUAUCUAUGAUUAAAAAUAAAUGUAUAUAUAUAUAUUUUAAAAAAAAAAUUUGUGUCCGAGAUACAUACUUUGCAGCAUCGCUAUUGAAAAAUCUAAAAGCAUUUAUUGGAUGAAAGAAGAAACGACAAAAUGAACACAAUUGCAUGAUUCAGCAUCCGAUAAGCGCGCAUUGGAACACUUAUUUGUCAAUAAAGUUUUUGCUUUCAGAAGAGGUUGGGUCCCCCACUUUUUUUGAAUCUUUAGGAUUUGAAGUGAUUGGCUUUAGAGAUAUUAUGUUUUACUCUUUGAUGAAAUUAAUUUUCUAUAUUGUAAGGUGGUUUUAAAAAUGAGAGUCCUAUAUACCGAACACUGUGAUGGAGAAUGCAUUUAUCAACAUUUAAUGAGGCCAUUAUUGUUCUUAGAACACUACAACUAGCCUAGCGUGGAUUAUGUAAGCAUCAAAAUUGCAUUACCCACUAAAUCAUUGUUAAAUACGUGGCCACGUAACCUAAUCCCAAUAAUGAUUAUACUAAUAAAUUAGCCUUUGACUAAUGUUGCGCUCAUCAUAAAUUUGAGGGUAAUUAAUUGCUUUCACCACUUCCCUCAUAAUAUCUCUUGUCAUCUGCUCUUUCUUCGUCACGUUCCAUGUGCAUCAUAGUAUUAAAUUAUCCAAACAAGCAAGCUACUUUGUGAACUAGUUACUAAUUUAUUAUACAAUUAUUUGUACUUGAUUAAAAUUUAUAAAUUGAGGGUUAAUUACUAGUGCACGCCUACAAGCUAUUAAACAUUGUUUUUUGGGUUACUUUUGUAGGUACGAAUUAGUUAUUACUGGUGGAGGUAUAUAGAUCAUUUAAUUCACUAACUAGUGGUAAAAUUUGCUAACUUAACAGUAGCGGUAAUUUUUUUUUAAAUAUGUUACCCACUUUGUUUAUUUUUUUAAAAAUAAACUCAACUAGAAGGCUUUUGAACUUUGGAUCUUGGAUACCAACCAUCAAAUUCUUUGUUACUUACGCUAGGGACGGUCAGUAAUAGUAGCGGUAUUUCUACAAAGCUUUAUAUGGUUAGAAGGGUAAACUUGAUGCUUUAAAUUUUAUAAGUUUAAUUUACUAACUUAUUGUUUUUUUUUUAGAAAUAAACUAAGUUGGAAAUACGAAACAAUUAGGCUUUAAAUUUGGAAUCUUGGAUAUCAAUCAUUAAACCUUUUGCCACUUACAUUAGGGCCGGUCGGUAAAAGUAGUGGUAUUUCUACAAAGUUUUAUAUGGAUAUAAGGGUAAACUUGAUGCUUUAAAAUUUAUAAGGAUAUGCAAGCCAUUUCUCUAUUUUUGAAGGAAUAUACCGGUAAUUAACCCUUUUUCAAUUAGUCCCUAUUUGAUUGGAAAUAUCAUUAAUCAUGAGGUUCAUUCCAGUCAAAUUUUGAACUAUUUUUGGUGUUAUGAGGUCCCCAUCACUAAAGAAAAGAAUACCAAAGAAUCUUUGCCAUUUCACUCAUCAUUUCCUCUCAAAGCACUCUCUUUUUUUUCUCAAGAAAUUAAACAAAAAAAACCUCUUCUACAAUUAUCCAAUCUAAAAAAAUUACUUAUUCCAUGCUAUAGUGUAAUUCAACAUGAUUUUACCGCAAGACUUAACACACUAAUGUAACAAAAAAUAAAAAGGGAAAAGAAAAGAAAGGAUAAUGAUUAGAUAUCGUAAGCUAUUUAUCUUUCUCUCAAAUGGCGUUAGCUGUUUAUAAUAUUUUCUACCAAAUAUCUAUUACAGAGAGGGUUUUAUUGUCUUUGUGUCGCACAAGGGGGAGGAAUGAGAAAGGUAAGCGCAAACCAUGUGCAAUCAAUUCCAUGCUUUUAAUACAAUCAAUUCCAUGCUUUCAAUUUAAAUCACAACCUCUUUUGGACUUUCCAAGCCAAGUAUUCAAAGAAUCAGCAUUUACUAUAAAACCCUAAAACUGUGGUCAAUUAUGUGGCUGAGAACUUCACAAGUCCUUGCUUAUAUCAUGCGAGUUGGUGGAACUCGUUGAAUAUUCGAAAAGAAGAUUCUAAUCUAUUACUGCUAAUUUGUCAUCAUCGACCCCCAAUUCAAUCCCGUUGUGCCCACCAUGUACUACUAAACUCCUCUAGCUUGAGAAUCACGGCCGUCUGAUCGAAUUCCGAUGGCUCUUAGGAUGUAGUUCGAGAUCGAAGCCUUUGAUCACCUAUAAUUCCAUUGUUAUUGUUAAGACGCGACUACAGAAAAUCUAUAAAGCAACAAAAAAAAAAAACUGAAGCGCAAACCCGCAUGGAAAAAGAUAACACGUUAUACAGGAUUAACAAACAAUACUAGAUCGCCUAUAAUCUAAUUGCUUCAGAAUAUAGUAUUUCUAUGUUUGGGUCAUAUACAGUAGUAUAAUGUCAAAAUACAAGCGAUAUUAAAUAUAGCGAUAAAAACAUUGAGCUUCUUCCAAGUGAGCUUUAAAUGAACCAAGUGGGCCCAAAAGGCCAGCCCACCUAUACUCCCAUAUAUGGCCCAUUACUCAUCUCUUCUCUUCUCACUGAAGAGUAAAGAGCCCUCAAACCGGAAUGACACGUGGCACUGCAUGCGAUACUUCUCACUCCCAUGCCAAAAGUUUGGUACUUUUAGGGGCUGUUUGGUUGGAUGUAGUUGCAGAAACAGUAUAGUUGAAAAUACAUGCAGUUGCAAAUGCUGCAGUUGUAACUACACCUAGUCUGUUUAGUUUUACGCAGUUGCAACUGCUGCAGUUGCAUUUCUUCUGUUUGGUAAUAUGAAGCUGAUAGUUGUAUUUGUGAAUUUUAUCACCUUUUCAGAUAGAGUGGUGAGAUUACCUUCACUAAACAUAAAAUAAUUGUAUAAGUUUAUUAAUCAUUUAAAUUUACUAUUUAUAAAUAAAUAAGUAGAUAUAUAUAAUAUUCUUCAACUUAAAAUUUACACAGCUAAUUAUUCAACUUCUUAAUAACUUUUCAAANNNNNNNNNNNNNNNNNNNAUACAUAUAUCCAUUUAUUUUUAUGAACAUUUAUUUGAGUAUGAUUAUUUUAAAAAAUCCGUUAUGUUCGAAACACGUUUUUUAAUUACAGUACGGGGCCUAAUGAGCAAAGGGGCCCGAGCGAUUGUCUGGGCGGCAAAUGUAUCCAUAAAGGAGACAUAUGCUUUAUUAUUUAUUUAUUUAGCUAUUUAUUUAUUUAUUUAUUAUUGUUAAUUUGUGGGUGAUCCUAUCCCUCACCAACUACUGCAGUUGGAACUACGGUCAAUUUGGAUGUAGUUUCAAUUGCAGCAUUUGGACCUUCUUAUGUAGUUGGAACUGCAGCAGUUGAACUCAACUACACUAAGCCAAACAAAGGAAUUAAGGCUGCACGCAUUUGCAACUCCACUGCAGUUGCAAAUGCGUGCAACCAAACAGCCCCUUAUUGCGUUUCGCAGGCAUAAUCUGGUGGUUAACUUACUAGACUGGUUUCCAAUAGCGAAAAAGAUUAGUGCGGAGGUCCUUCCACGAACACAAAUUGAAACCAAGCACUUGCGUUCAGCUGUUGUUUCCAGCAGUUGUAGCGAAGCCGCUGAAGUCAAUUGUAGGAUCAAUUCAAUGCGAGUUCGGUGGAUUAACAAAAAAAAAAAAAAGAAAAAAAAAAGAAAAAAAAAAAGAAAAGACAAAAUGAUGAAAAAAAGACAAAAUGAUGGCACGAACGGUGAAAAAGAUAUACUAUUAUGUACGGAAGAGAGCUCAUGAGCCGCUUUAGAUUUACAGUUUUUUUUGACAAUUCUAAUAAUAUAUGCUUUUGCCUUCAACUCGUUUAAGUGAACCCCAACCGAACAAACCGGCCCAAGAAAAGGAUAAGCCAAUUCCAUUCAUUGCAUGCAAAAUCACGAGGGUCUACAAUUGAGAUAUGGAGCAGCUUGGACUGGUCAGAUAUAUCAUUGAGGACUACAAAGUACAUCCAUGAGAACUACAACAACUGACACAUUACAACAAUUAUAAGGAAACAAUAGCCCACAUAACGUCGAGAGAGAUAGAGAGAGGAGGGAAAAAAAAGGGAAAGAGAAAAACCCUCUAAAAGAACUCGAAGUCCAGGUACUUGCCUCCGGACUUCACAUCCGCCCCGACCAUCCUCUUACUGCUGCUCCCGCCCGUCCCCUCCGCUGCCGCCCCGGCCUUUGCUAACAGCGGCAGCGGCUCCGCCUCCACCGGCCUCGGCACCUCAGGUGGAGUGCUGCACCGAAUCAGCGCCCAGUUCACCCCCUCAAAGAAUGGAUGCUGUUUUAUCUCCGUCGCCCCCCGCUUCACUCCCAGCCUAUGCUGGGGUUCUUUCACCAAUAAACCCUUGAUCAAAUCGCGGCUCGCGUAACUAGUCGACGGGGCCUCCGGAAACCUAAGCUGCUGACCAACCACAUUGAACAGAGUUGCGCGGUUUCCCGACCCUUUGAAUGGUGUCUUUCCAUACAAGAGCUCGUGAAGAAAAAUCCCGAAGGUCCACCAAUCAACAGCACUGCCGUGGCCUUCGCCUUUGAUUAUUUCGGGGGCGAGGUACUCGUGGGUCCCCACAAAGGACAUUGAUCGCGCGGUCGUUGGUUCGGCCACCAGCUCAGGUAACGCGGAGGGGGACGACGGGCUCCCCUCGGCCCCCCUUGCCUUCCUGGUCUUUAUUUUCUUGCUCUUUUGGUGGAAGAGUUUGGGCAUGAAGCACGAAGGUUGGAUGCAGACGGAUGAUGGCUCGAUGCAGGCGGGUUGGACGCAGAAUGCUCCACCCGCUUGCUUCGGAUCGAGUGACGACGUCUUUAUCAGUGUUGGGGACACCGCACAUCUAAGAGACAGAUCGAAGUCGGAGAGCAUUAUGUGGCCGUCGUCACGAACGAGAACGUUUUCCGGUUUAAGAUCUCUGUAGACCACCCCAAGCAUGUGCAGAUAUUCCAGAGCUAGGAGAACUUCCGCAGCAUAAAAUCUGUCGAGAUGAGAAAGAGAGAGUUUUAAGUUUCAUAAGCAAGGCAAGAGAUUAAGAAGAAAGAAUGCAGUUUUAUUAACUGGUAGAUGAAGAUGAUCACAAAAACCAAGAGGAGGUGGAAUUAAUAAAAAGAAUAUAAGGAGCUGCAUGCCAUAAGACAGAUUUGCUUUCAUUCGCUUUUGCAUGUUGCAACAAGGAGUUUAGUCAAAGAUGGCUAGUGGAACAGUGUAACUAUAUAGCCCCAUUGCAUUCUAAAUAAGCAAGCCUAAAACUACAAGUAUGCGAAGAAAUUUUUAUAAAGAAAUCGACGAACAGAUUUAUGCACUGUUUGAAUUUCGAAUUUAUUCAACAUACAACAAAUUGAUGCAAUACUCCGUUUUUUAUUGCACAAAAGUGUAACCAUAGCUUUGGAAUCGAGCCAUUACUCCUUUUAUUUAUUUACUAGGUUCCUCAGAUUUCCUAAGAAACAAAUCCUACAAGAAAAUUUACAGACAAAAUGGCCAAAAGAGUAGAAACAGACCACAGAAGUAAUACAGCAGUAUAAAGCAGUUCCUUCAUAAAGUCAUAAUUUAUGCUUAGGAAACUCUAUGCUGGAAAAUCUAUAACAUGCAUAGUAAUUUUGCUGUAGUACAACAAACAACAAUUAUGUGUAGCAGGGAUAGUUUACUACAUUCUUUAUUCUUUUGCACAUCCUUUUAGUACAUUUGGUAAGACUUAAGAGAUUCUUUCCUUUCUCGUGAGUAGAAGAUGCUUUACUUUUAUUCCCUUGACUAGAUGUGUCUACUUUAAUUCUUGAUUGACAUACCGUGUACCAAAAGCGAUGAUAUUUUAGACUAAGCAGGUUUUAUGAAUAUUUUUUAUUUUCCUUCUUCCUUUGGUAUUCAUUCAACAGACAUUGACAUUGACAUUGACAAAAAUCUCGGAUGGCACAUGAUCCUGCUCAGUCUUCCUUUUUCUUGCAAAUGCUGCAUGACCAGCAUGUUUACAUAGUACAAGAAUUAUUUCUCCAGAUAUUCGAUGCCCUUGCACAUCUUCCAUUAUAGGGCUACCACUAAACCCCUCCUAGCUGGAAAUUUUUUUUGCCAAGAUCCUUAAGAGCUUCUAAUAUCCAAAUAUGUAUGGCAUUUUCAGGAAUUAUCUAAAUAAGCCACCGAAAUACUAGUAGUCCCCAUGAGAAGCAAAAGCUCCAGAAUGCUGCGCGCAAUUGGAGUCUUAAAAGUUAAAAAUGUUAAAUUUCCUAGCAAUCUGUACAAGAGCUGACCCGCAAACAGAACAGCCAGACUCGAAGAAGAAAAACGGUCAUUCUUCUCCACCGGAUGAGAUUACUAAAAGCAAAGAAGUGGCAAUUCCUCACUUGAGAUUAAAGAUGCUAAAUAUCACGGAACAUCACCUAGACAAACAAAUGGUGCAAUUCAAAAAGACAUCAGCUGUCCCAAGCAUGCCACUGAGUAAUGUUAACAAAAGACUAAGCUUUCCAGCCAACAGACAAAAAAUUCAGCAAACAGUCCAGAAAUUAGAACUAGAAUAACACUUGUUAUGUCUAAAUUAAAAUAAUAAAAAAAAACGAAAGAGCUGGUUGCUGUAAAAUAUUACCUUGCUGCAUAUUCAGAGAAGUGCUUCCCUGGCUGCCGCUGCCUCAGCGUGUGCAAAUCACCGCCAGGACAGAACUCCAUAACUAAACAUGAGAACCUAUCCGUCUCAAAAUGUGUAUACAAUGUCGGAAGGAAUGGGUGAUCCAGAAGCUGGAGUAUCUCUCUCUCAGUCUGAGCCCUAUUUAACUUCUUUCUGCUAGCCAAUGAUGCCUUAUCCAUUACUUUCAUCGCAAAAUAGCACCUUGUUCCACUCAACUCUGACAAGUAAACACUGCCGAUAUCACCGCAGCCAAGCCUUUUAAGCAAUCUAAAAUGGCUCAUUCCCAAUAUACCAUCUCGAGCCCGAACAGCAAGAAUAGCCUUCCACCGUGGGUCGUUUCCCUUGUGGGGCUUAUUAGCACUUCCGGUUACAUUGCUCCAAUUACUAUCGUCACUAAGCCCACUACUAUCGCUUGCUCUACUCAUGCUAGUCUUUGCACUCUCGAGCGAAUCCCCUUUAAAACUACUACCCUUCGUACUCUCGCAAUUCCUCUCCACACUAAGCAUGCCAUCACUAGUAACCCCUUCACUUCUAUACGUACUUGUGCAGCUAUUCACGAUACUCAUAGCGGUCACAACACCAGUUGAAUCAAUACUGCUAUGGGGACUAACAUUCCCACUAGGAGGGAGGGAAGCAUCCCACACACACUCCUUUUCGUCGGAAUCUUGAGGCAAGAAUGCAUUUUCCAUGUUCUGAGAGGGUCGAGGAACAGCGAAAGGAGAAGAUGGCGCGCCCAAUUCACUAGGCUCCUCAAUCAAGCUCUCAGCAGGGGAAGGAACUCCCAACUUUGCUUUCACACCUUGAACUCUAAUCGAAAGAUCUUCUAUGAAAGGACCUUUUACAGAGAGGCCCUUCAUCAAACAGCCGACCUGCGAUUUCUCUUGGUCUAUGGCUACAUACACCGUCUUCAUUAGAUCCAUAUCAAUAGGCUCAGGUGGAUGGCUCGCGCCUGAGAAAGAGCUCCGCCCACCUUCUUCGGACGAAUCGAUGCUCCUAAAGCUUUCUGCCUCGGCAGUCAAGUCCUUGCGUUCUGGAUUCGCGCUCUUCCCUUUCCAUUCUUUUGUAAGAACUGGAAGAUCCAAAUUCUUCACAGCGGAAGCACCUCUAAUACCUCUUAAAUCGGGGGCCUGGGCAAUCGCAGGGAGCUUUACAGGGAGCAUUUUCGGCUCGGGAAUCCUAUCCAUCUCCAUUGAAUCUUUAACAUCACCAAGGUAUAAUUUGUGAAAUUCACAAACUAAUAUUAGCAAAUCUGCCAAAAUUCGCAGUGGAUUUAGACAAACUGGUGCGUUUCUCAAGAUGUUCCUCUCUCAAACCUUAAGGAUUCGUAGUAUUUGUCCAAUUUCUCACGGCUUCAGAGUAAAGGGAACUAUAUACCAAGUAGUAUUACCGCAAGAGCAAGCAAAAUUAGAUUACGAAGCAAGCACCACUUGAUUCCUCCUCUGCAACUCCAGAGACCUACAAAAACCAAGAGAUCAACGCAUUCGAUCAACUCCAACAUCUACAAAACUCUAUCAACUAAGAAAAUCAGCAUAAAUAACGAUAAAUCGCACAAACUCUAACAACUUAUACUCCGAUCCCCGUAAGGAAUCAUACGACAAAAUUGAACAUAAUUCGUCCAAAUCUCCAAAAACAAACAGAAAACAAAGAUUACAACCCGAAAAAUCACCAAAGCACGAAAUCCUGCACAUUCCGAUCUUCUAGAGCAAAGAGGAGCUCUCCUCGGAAGUCGAAAAGUUCCCAAAGGAGAGGAAAAGAAGAACAAUUCCCCGACAAAGACAAAUCCUCGGAUUUCUACAGCACAAAGGAGAUUCGGAACGAAGGAGAAAAAGGAGGAGAACAGAAAUCGCCGCACCUCGCAACAGGGGAAGUGGGAGAUCCCGGAGAAGCUCCUCCGACGCCUAGGGUUUCUGAGUUCCUCUGAUCCUGAUCUAGGGUUUUCCCACUUCCCCGAACCCCACUUCCACCUCCGUCCUCUUCCCCCUUCUUCUCCACAGACACAAGGAAAAGGAAGGGAGAAAAAAGAGGAAAAGAGUGUGGCAGCAGGAGUGUAGAGCGCUGCAACCCGGAUUCUCUUUUUCCCCCUUUUUCCUUUUUUAUUUAUUUUUUCCCUAAUUAUUUUAUUUUACCAUUUCCAUUAAUCAAUUAAUUAGCCGACACUAAUUAACAGUUAGCAGUACUAAUAAUAGUAAGUACUUUAUUAGUCGCGGGAAAUCCAGUGAAGCGGGUUUUGGUCCAAGCGAAUAAAUACCGUGUCCGUACGACGGACACGUGGACCCCGUGCAUUCAACCGUGACAGAGCACCGUUGCACAAAAGAAUUUUCUCGGGGACCGUGGGGCCCACGGGACUUUAUUUUUGUUACGCUUUCACGCUACACUGGAUGACCUGUCACCGUCGCUCAAUGCCAUCUCGGCUUAAUCACCGUCGGAUCUUCAUCGGACGGUGGAAUGUCGAUUGACGCCACAGGAUACUUGUUUGACCACAUGGUCGACUGGGUACGACCAUACGAAGUACAGAUGCAUCCAGGCACAAUUCGAAAAACUUUGUCAAAUUAACUCAUAAUUUUAUCAAAUUUAAUAAAUUAAAUUACUUUAAUACUAAAUAAAAUUUAAAAUCAACAGUUAAUAUCCAAAGGAGUCAUAAAUUUUGGUAAAAUUUUUUAAUUUAAUUAAAAAUAUCAAAACUCAAUUCAAAAAGUUAGAACGUAAAAGAGUGUUAACAAAAAUAAACAAAGUUGAGGUCUCGCUUUCCGAAUAUUAUAUAGUUGAGGGGUCUGCGUGCAUUUUCACCGUGAUGGAGCUCGGCGUGACAAGGGAUCGGAUCCGUUGAUUUGAUCUCUUUGGGUGACGUGGCGCAUCGGAUGGACGGGUGCUAUAAUGGCGUGGUGAUAAAGGGUGGGGACGCGAUGCUGUUUGAUUUGUCCUCGGAAGAGGACAAAGGAGUCAAUUCCUUGUGACUGUUUUUACCCUCGCCCGAUAAACGGUAACGUAUCAUCUCUCUCUCUCCUUCUUUUUGCCCCUCCUUGUGAAAUGAUCCUCUGCAGAUGUGGAUGUACGAAUUUGCUACGAUCUGAUUCUGAAUUUUUCAUUUUAUUGGUCAUUGCCAAUCAUUAAAUUUGAAUAUGUAAAUUUGAAUGAAUAUUUACUCCGAAUUAUCGCAUGUUCACCCUAAUCUCACCGCAUACACUCGUGUGAGUAAUUGUUUUCUUGAACAAAGGUGAAGUGGAAAUUACUUUUAUUGCGCAAUGUUAAUCAAAGUCUUAUUGAGUGCUCAUAAGCCAUUAAUUGCGCAUGUAUUCAUUUCAGUAAAUAAUUUAUCCAAUGGUGACCAAUUUAUUCGGGUUUGUAGGAACUCACAAAGGAUGAAUUUCCCAUUCAAGCUGGAAAGUAAGAGAUAGAUCAACUUCCUCUUGAGGGUUAAUUAUACAUCUCACCUAUUUUGUCGAUAAUUUUAAUUCUAUAAUCCUAAAUCUUUAUGAUCAAUUUAUAAACAUUUAUUCUAUAAAAUCUACAUGGAGAUUUUCUCUUAUAUUAGCUGCUACCAUCCUUUUAGUUUCACAUUUUCCAUUCUUCUAGUGAUGGUUGUUACUCAGUUGCUAAUUUGAGAGUUCAAAGAUUUGAACAUCUACUUGUACGUAUAUAUAUUGAGGCAUUUUAGAUCCUGACUCUUAAAAUUAAGAGAAAACUUAAGAUAUUUUCUACAUGGUUUAUUGUGCGUUUUUAUUUAAGUACUACGUGCCUUUAAUUGUAUCACUUAAAUAUUGUGCAAUUUGUAUUUUUAUUUUUCAUCACUUCCUCUUUUAUUUUUUUUCAGUAAAUUUGUUAUGUGUCAUGCAUGUGUAUUGGAGUUUUCUUUCGUAAAAGAUUAAUAAAAAUCUCAUAGAUUUUUUAGGAUUUAAUCUUAAUUGCUCUUGGUGAGUUCCCCAACGGCGAAAAAGCAACAAUCCACGAAUUCAAGUGUGCAGUAUGUGACUAUUUUAAUAAAGAGCGUAAUGAAAAAUAAGAACACAAAUCAUAAAAAACUUAACUGGUACGGUAAAAAAUAAUAUGAUAUUAAAGUAAAAAAUUAAUAUACCAUGUGGGGCAUGUGAUUUUUUUUCACAAUUUAAUACCCCAGUAUCUGAAACUCUUUUGCCGGCCACUGUCGAUCACCAAAUUCAAUAUAACAGCUUGAAAUUUAAAACAAAUAAUAAUUUUUGAAAAUUAAAUUUAUAGAGUAAUUAGCAGCAUUUUAAGUGGGCAUCUAGAGAUAUCAUGAUCCUACCACCUUGAGGGUGCGUUUGGUUCGCGCUAUCUUUUAAAGAUUCCUAGUAAUCCAAUGGGAAUAAAAAAAUAUGACGGUGUUUGGCUAAACGCACUAAGUAAUCUAGUUGGUAAUAUUGGAUUCACUUGGAAAUAAGAUUCAUCCCAAAGUACUAAUCUCAUUCCCUUGAGGGAGGGUGGAUAUCCUCAUAUUAAUGGAAUGGGGUAAUCAUAAUAUGUCUAAUCUCUUUCUUUCUUCUUACCCGCCGGCUAAUUGAUAUUAUUUUUCUUUACACUCUAACCUUAUAUCUCUCUCUAAACUUAUUUUUCUCUCUAAAAUUCAACUUUUUUUUCUCUCUCUAAACUAAGCUUUCUCUCUCUCUCUCUUUCUAAAAUUUCAACUCUCUUACUCCCUCUAGUUUCGACUAUAUUUUUCUUUCUAUUUUUUUAAUUAUGCUCUCUCUCUCUAACUUAUACUCUCUCUCAUUUUUUUAAAAAAAGAUGUUGAAACUUUUGGUAACAUUAUCUAAAAUUAAUUAAAUAAAUAAAUUAAUUAAUUGUAUAUUUUUUGUAAUAUUAAAUAAUAUGGCUAAUUAAUAUUACCGUGCGAACCAAACACAGGAAUUUCACAUUCUUAGUAAUAGGAUGAAUAGGAAUAAAAUUCUCGGAUAUCUUUUAUUCCCAGUAAUCUUUCAUAAUGCGAACCAAACGCACCGUAAAGAUGAAGUCUACUGUAUCAUAUUUGCACAACAUCAUUAAUAACAAAUCAAUCGUAUCUCUCUAGUUAAGAGAAAAGUAUAAUAAAUUUUUUUUAUUGAUCAUAAUGGAACAUAGAUGAAUAAUUUUAUUAAUCGGUGACAUUAGGUCGGCAAUAUACCAGAUAUAUAUUUAAAUUUUUUUCCACCUCGAAACCACAAUGUAAUAAGAUCCAGCGGGGCGGUAAAUUUGACAACGGUAACAAUCGACGCGGCUAAAAAAGCAAAUCCCGAAUACCAAGGUCCAAUCGAUGCAAUGUCGUGAUUAAAUGAUUAGAUAUAGAUCCUGCUAGAUUUUUCACCUCUAAUUUAGCGACCCUAGGGAUCCUCCCACUGGGUACUACCUAAUUACUUAUUAAUAAAUAAACCACUUUCUUUUUAUAUUAUAUUUAUUUAUUUAAUUUAAUUUUCGGUUGUGAAGGGGCUAUGAAGUAGCUUUUGAAACCUACUUUGAUGGCAUUGGAAUUAGGAAAAAGGUAGGUAGGUCUCUUCAUAUGAGCCUCCUUAAUGAUUCCGCCCCCCACUUUAACGUUCUGAAAAAGCCUGUGGGCUGUUUGGUGGUGGGCCUCUUUAAUCUCCUCAUCUUUUCUCCAUAUGAAGAAUGGCUUUUGGUUUUCUUUGACUGUACCGUUGUGGCCAGUGAAAUUUACAGCAGCUCGUAGGCCCCACAUUUGAGGCUGCCGAGAAGAAAAGGAGAGACAUGUUCUGGUGUUCAGAGCUUGUGGAAACGACUGUUCUUUGUGGUUUUUGAAAAUACUUCUCUAGUGAAUAUAUCAAUUUGAUUUGAUGUAAUUUAGUGUUCAAAAAUUUUAGUUUUUGAGAAGUUUUGUUUAUUUACUUUAGGGUCUCUCUUCGGAAACUUUUUUUAUAAAAAAUCUAGUACUUCUUUCGAGCCAAUUCAAUGUCGAAAGGGAGGGUUAGACAUGUAAUUUACAAAACAUUCUAAAGUGUUGGGAACAAGAUUACAAUGUUGGAUGUAGUCCACUUGAUUUAUUCGAGGUCAUUCAUAAAAAUUAAUGCUGUCGAUUUAUUUAAGACGAUUUAUAGGUACAGUCGACCCAAUAGUUAAAAUGUAUUUGGACAGUUUUUGAUAGACGGACAUGAUUAAAUAUGCUUACAUUAGGUUAUCUGUAUAUAUAUAACAUACGGGAAUCCCAGCCUAACCUUAAUCAAAAUUUUUUGUGACGGCUCCAUCUUCGAAAAAAAGAAAAUAGAUUGGAAACGUCCCGCUCGUUUGCAAAUCAUGAACGAGUAUGAACCACAAGGAAGAAUCGCCGUCUAUAAUCCGUAUUUGAAAAUUAAAAUAUAUACAGUCUAACAUACAAUUAUCAUUU